rnacentral:rRNA from 1 species
UACGUAGGGUGCAAGCGUUAAUCGGAAUUACUGGGCGUAAAGCGUGCGCAGGCGGUUGUGCAAGACCGAUGUAAAUCCCCGGGCUUAACCUGGGAAUGGCAUUGGUGACUGCACGGCUAGAGUGUGUCAGAGGGGGGUAGAAUUCCACGUGUAGCAGUGAAAUGCGUAGAGAUGUGGAGGAAUACCGAUGGCGAAGGCAGCCCCCUGGGAUAACACUGACGCUCAUGGCACGAAAGCGUGGGGAGCAAACAGG